GGAAGAAUGAAUUGUUUUUUUUUUUCCUUAAUAUUGCCUCACUGGAUUUUUUAUGCGGUUUUUUAGAAUUAUUUACAUGGAGUACCUGAAUUUAUGCGGAUUUUGAAAAUGCUGGAACGCAUCCCCUGUUUUUGUAUGAAAGUAAAGAACAUUUUUAUGCGGAUUUUUUGUAUGCGGCUUUCUGA